GAUGAACGCUGGCGGCGUGCCUAAUACAUGCAAGUCGAGCGAACAGAUGAGGAGCUUGCUCCUCUGACGUUAGCGGCGGACGGGUGAGUAACACGUGGAUAACCUACCUAUAAGACUGGGAUAACUUCGAAAAACCGGAGCUAAUACCGGAUAAUAUCUUGAACCGCAUGGUUCAAUAGUGAAAGACGGUUUUGCUGUCACUUAUAGAUGGAUCCGCGCCGCAUUAGCUAGUUGGUAAGGUAACGGCUUACCAAGGCAACGAUGCGUAGCAGGCCUGAGAGGGUGAUCGGCCACACUGGAACUGGGACACGGUCCAGACUCCUACGGGAGGCAGCAGUAGGGAAUCGUCCGCAGUGGGCGAAAGCAUGACGGAGCAACGCCGCGUGAGUGAUGAAGGUCUUCGGAUCGUAAAACCCUGUUAUUAGUGAAGAACAAAUGUGUAAGUAACUAUGCACGUCUUGACGGUACCUAAUCAGAAAGCCACGGCUAACUACGUG
rnacentral:rRNA from 1 species